rnacentral:rRNA from 1 species
UACAGAGGAUGCAAGCGUUAUCCGGAAUGAUUGGGCGUAAAGCGUCUGUAGGUGGCUUUUUAAGUCCGCCGUCAAAUCCCAGGGCUCAACUCUGGACAGGCGGUGGAAACUACCAAGCUGGAGUACGGUAGGGGCAGAGGGAAUUUCCGGUGGAGCGGUGAAAUGCGUAGAGAUCGGAAAGAACACCGGUGGCGAAGGCGGUCUGCUGGGCAGUUGCUGACACUGAGGCGCGACAGCGUGGGGAGCAAACAGG